rnacentral:tRNA from 1 species
GGCGCUGUGGCUGAGCGGUAAAGCGCUAGACUUCCGAACCAGGGACAUGGGUUCGAAUCCUGGUAAAGACU